rnacentral:misc_RNA from 1 species
GAUGAAGAACGCAGUGAAAUGCGAUAAGUAGUGUGAAUUGCAGAAUUCAGUGAAUCAUCGAAUCUUUGAACGCACAUUGCGCCCCUUGGUAUCCCGAGGGGCAUGCCUGUUCGAGCGUCAUUUCACCACUCAAGCCUGGCUUGGUGUUGGGCGACGUCCCCUUUGGGGACGCGCCUCGAAACGCUCGGCGGCGUGGCACCGGCUUUAAGCGUAGCAGAAUCUUUCGCUUUGGAAGUCGGGGCCCCGUCUGCCGGAAGACCUACUCGCAAGGUUGACCUCGGAUCAGGCAGGGAUACCCGCUGAACUUAAGCAUAUCAUAAGCGGAGGA